AUGUUUCUUUGUUGCAGGUUAAAAUCUUGUAAAGAACCGCUGAAACAAAUCACCUUCUUUGUAGAAUUCUUCCACAAAUCAUUAAAUAAUUGCGACUGCAAACUUUUUGAGGUGAGAGGACGAUAUAACCCAGAAACAUUCAAUCCUCUGCUGGAUCUGUACUCACAUGUGAGGAACUAUGAGACUCAAACAGGCAGGAGUUUUCUUCCAGCAUUACAGGCAGUUUUCCAGUCACCUGAUGCCUGGAUCAUAGAUCUCUCAGAGAGAAAGAGCUCGGUCCUCCUGGAAGUGCUGAAGCUCCAGACAGAGAAGAAACCAGUAAAUCUGAUUGGAUGUUCAGAGGAAGAGAGAGACGUGAAGAGUUUCCUUCAGUGUCUGCAACACAUCUCAGAGCUGAGAAUCUCUGAUCUGAGUGAAAGCGUUCUUCGUGGAUUUCUUCUGAGUCUCUUCAUUAAAGCAGCAGAGAUUGAGACACAGACAGGAGAACAGAUGCUGGAACUGUUAGCAUCAGUCUGCAUCAGCUCUUCUAAUUAUAAAUGGACUGACAUAUUUUAUGAUUGGGAUUUCCUGCUGGAUCUGUGCUCACAUGUGAAGAACUAUGAGACUCAAACAGGCAGGAGUGUUCUUCCAGCAUUACAGUCAGUUUUCCAGUCACCUGAUGUCUGGAGCAUAGAUCUCUCAGAGAGAAAGAGCUCGGUCCUCCUGGAAGUGCUGAAGCUCCAGACAGAGAAGAGAACAGUCGAGCUCAGAAGAUGUUCAGAGAAAGAGAGAGACGUGAAGAGUUUCCUUCAGUGUCUGCAACACAUCUCACAGCUGAGACUCGACCUCACUCUCAAACCUAAAGCUGUCUCUGUCAGAAGAACAAGGCUUCUCUUCAGACACCUCACAAACAUACACACACUCAGGCUGAGUGGUUAUAUGCUGGUGAGAGUUGUGCAGGCGUUGAGGUUUAUGAAGGUUCGAGCUCCCAUCACCGUUAAUGAGCUCACACUUGAUCUGAAUGAGGAACAGCAGUCAGAAAGGAGUCUGUCCAGGAUCAUGAGCAAAUUAGCCAUCCUUCUGAGACUCUGGACGGUCAAGUGUUUGAACUUGACUGAAUACAAGAUUCAGUCUGUUUCUGUGUCUGUCCUGCUGUGUCACCAGGGACCAGUGACUCUCAGACUGUCCAAAGAGACUCUCCAGAAGCUUGUUAAUUGUGUUUAUGAAGCUCAGGAAGAGGAACUGACUCAGUGCUUCCUGCAGAAAGUGGGCAGGGAUCUGACUUCCUGUUCCUUGAGCUGGGAAGAGCUUCAUUAUUUCCUGCAGCACAGAAUUCAACAAAUCACUCUGAACCUCAGAAAAAGUAACAUUCAGGUCAACAUCAGAGAAAUUCUGCCAUUCCUGAACCGGAUUAAGUUUAAACGGAUGAGCUCUGCCUUCAUGCUGUGUGUUAUCAGAGAGAUCUAUGAGUCCGGCUCUGCUGGGUUUGUGUCCAGUCUGUUGAGUUCAGUGGAGAACUACAUUAACCUGCAGAGCAGAGAUCUGGACUCUGUUCACUGUGCGGCCCUGCGCUUCACACUGCAGCACUGCACUGCAGCUUCACUCAACCUGCUCUGGACCUCCAUACCUGAGGAAGAGCUGCAGAGCAUUCUGCCUCUCUUCACACACCUCUCCCACCUCAGUGUUGACAGGCUGCUGUUACUGAAGAUUCUUCACUGCUGCAGUGUCUCUGAUGUCCAGCAGGAAGCAGCAGCUGUUCUGCUCUCUGUCCUUCAGCACAAGCUGGACUUCUCCUGCUGCUCUGCUCUGGAUCUGACAGCAAACACAGACUCAGAGCCUCUACAUCUGACCGCUGACGACUGCCAUGAGAUGUCCAGAGUCAUUCAGAGAGCUGAUUCAGACACAAAGACACGGCUGAUUCUGCAGGACUGUGAGAUUCAUACAGCUGGCAUUUAUCAGCUGUUCCCAGUGUUACAUUCUGUUCAUCUCUGUGUCUCUCUAGUAGUGGACAGCAAUGAUGUAUUGAUAACAAGAGCCCAGAUGAUCCACAGCAACGACAGAAAGGAGGAGAUAGACACGAAGACAACCAAAAUAAAGAGCAAGUGCAUUCUGAUUAGCUGAUCUUCUCCUCAUCAUCCUAAAGAAGAGAAAGAUCAUUUGCAAGCAGGCAGUGUUUCACUAGCUGGGCUUCCAUCACCAUGCUUUUAUGCACAUUUUAAAGUAUUGCAUCAGAAUCGAGAGAUGGAAAUGCUGAAUUAUGAAUAAAAAUGCCUUAUUUUGCA
ensembl:lncRNA